AACAACAACGCCUUAGUGUUUUGUUACCUUUCUCUUUUGAAUCACGAGUUAUUAUGAGCCUUGAAGGCUUAUAAGGCACUUAUUUAGCAAGCUCUAACCGUGCGCUGACUUGGAACGGUCUUUACCUUGUACUUGAUAUCGACCUUAUGGCCGAUAUCCCGUAUAUGGUAUAG
rnacentral:misc_RNA from 1 species